AGGGUUUGACAUGCUGGGAUUAACUCGGUGAAAGCCGAGGGAUUGCCUUCGGGUGUAACCAGCACAGGUGUUGCAUGGCUGUCGUCAGCUCGUGCCUUGAGGUGUUGGGUUAAGUCCCCUAACGAGCGAAACCCCUGUCGUUAGUUGCCAACGGGUAAAGCCGGGCACUCUAGCGAGACUGCCGGUGUCAAACCGGAGGAAGGUGGGGAUGACGUUUACCGACAGCU
rnacentral:misc_RNA from 1 species